UACGCGUGGUUAGCCCCUUUGUCGACGAGUGUUGACAUCGUAUUUUGCAUUAGCGAUUCCAUUUGCCAUCAUUAGCUCCACUAGGCACGAACGAGUCUCGUGCAUCCGUUUCCCACAUUUACUACAAGUUUCUAUACUGACGAAAAGUAAUAUGAAGUGCAAGCAAUUCAUGAAGCUCUACAUUCCUUUGCUUUUGUUGAUCAACUUUCAUCAGAUCUCGUCCACGCCGUCGUCUGAAAAAGGAAACACUAUGAUGGACGACCCGACAGAGACUUACACCUGUCUCAAGUAUGACUACCAGAUUCAUGAAGCCCUAGCCUCUACGAAGCCACCCUUCGACAACUACUUCAACAUCUCACGUGCUAUCUUUCCAUCCGAAGAUAUAUCCUCUAAACUUGUCAAUAUCUGGGUGCAUUUUACCAACUCCUCUUUUAAUCUGACUGAGGUCAAUCAAUUGAAGUUCGUUUGGAGUCGGUCUUGUUUGUACGUCAGUGAUCGAUACCUCAGUCUUAUGGCAAUGGGCCUCUACUCCUUGUUUACCAUUUGGCCGGACAGGGGGCAAGAAGACCUUCAUAUAACACUCCAUCAGUUUUGUGAUCCAUGGCAAACAACGAGAAAGCUUAUUAACUUUUUGUCAACGCUGGAGGACAUCGCAAUAAGUCCAUCUUCGCUCAACCCAUCACUGAACAGUGUGGAAUGUGUUGCAGCCGACGGAGGCUUCGAGCAUUCUCUCCAGAACGUCAACAAAGCAUUCCCUCAAAUAUGCUGGCUCAUCCUGUUUUCUUCUCUAAAAGGAAGCAACUUGAUACGCAUGUUAGUUUUGAAAUAUUGUUGGCAACGUCGUGGGGCAAAAUCGAUUUUGUCAUUGGUGUUUGUUGCUUUCUUAUGUGGGACAUUUCUUGCGAUCGUCACUGUAAUCUAUAGUAGCCAGGCCCAAAUAAUUUACCCUUUGACGUACCUUUUAAUCAUUCUGUUCAGUUGUUUAUUUUCCUCUGUUUACUACUUGUUUCAAGCGCGUAAAAGCACCAUUAAUCAAGCGCGUAAAAGCACCAUUAAUAUUGUGUGUUUAGAAUUUAGAAAUUACGGAGAGCCGCAAUCGGGAAGUGUAUUGCUUUGGACGGCAUAUCCCGGAAUUUUCGUAGCCAUUCAUCACGCACUAUGGGUUAUGAUAGGUAUUAUUACUGAGCCUUACUGGGCCCUACCAGUGGCAACAUCUUUCAUCAUGUUUGCAUUUUUAUUCUAUGUAUUGUCUGCGCUUUAUUUCUCAACCGAAGAUUGGAAUACUUCGGCGAAAAUUAACUUUGGAUUCAUGGUUGCUGCAGGCAUAUCGGUCGUGAUGAUUCAGCUAUCGUUUCUCUUAAUCGGAAAUCAGUUCUUUGACGAAAGUCUACUUUCCAGUGCUAUUCAGAGCGCUUUGGUCGUUAUGAUAAGCAUUUGGUUCCGCUCUAUCAAAGACGAAAAAGGCUAUGACGAAACAGAUUAUGCAGGUAAUAGCAAGUCUGAAAAAAUUGAACUUGAGUAGACGAUAAAAGUCUACCACUGUUUAAUCGUUAAGAAAAUUAAUAGCAUACUUUGUUAUACUUUUUACCUAUCAUAAAACGUGAUAUGAGCGUCAUGUUGUGUCAGAAACCAGAAAAAAAAGCUUUUUACGUCUUCCUUUGUUCACUUGUCGAUAGUUACGCCGAUUAGUAAGAUCAAUGGCCAAUCUUCCUUUUGCAGAGCACUGCGACAAAUAGAAGUCAGUCCAGGCUGUCUUGAGAUAAAUAGUGACCAAGGGAGAUGGCCGAUUUAUUGCCUAAAACUUACAUCAAAAUUUGUUAUAAUUUGUUAUUUACAAAUUUCCACCUCUUAAGCACUAGAAAAUAUAAAGGCACAAUAAAAAUUCAAAUGCUGGAAGGAAGAGGGUCGGAAGAGGGUCGAGCUUGCUGAGUGUGUCAGGUCUGGAGACGAGCAAGACGAACUCGACAAAUAUGCCACUCCUUUCCCUGAUCGCUGAUGGCUCAGUUAUUUGCCAUUAAAUCUCGUGGCGCUAAGAUACCAAUGUCACUAGUUAGCCUUGUGAAGGUUUCAUGAUUACUACUCACUCCAUUUUAGAAUUCGAAGCUGACUCUGUUCUAGGCCUAUCUCUGGCCUAUCUAUUAACCCAUUUGGUACUAUAAACAAUAAUUCACUCCAGUAAGUGAACUGAUGUGGAUCGCAACAUUGAUAUUCUGCCACACAUUCAUUACGAUUUACACUGCAUGAGUGGCCAUAUGUGAUUCAGUGUGUGAGAGCUGAGCCCAUCGCGCCUUAGGAGAUAUUUAAGUUGUGGAACAGUUGAAUUAAUGAGUGAAUUAAACAUCCUGUAUAGUGUGAUUGACAUCGAUGCAUUGAUGCAUUGACUUUGUAAAGUUGUGCUCUCAUUCCCAUCAACUUGUUUGGAAAUACCGCACUUUGUUAAGUGGGUCUCCGUAGUUGUUUGACAGGAAAAAUCACCGUGAUCUUUACCAUGAAAAUAUUGCAAGGACUUUUGCAGCCCUCACCAAAGAAGGCGUUGUAUAUGGUGAGCACUGGAGAAAGUACAGAAAGGAGGGGGAUUGGAUGUGCAGUAAAAUUUAAAAAAAAUUACUAUGUGCUCACGUGUAGAGAUGUUGCCAGCCCUGAAGACGCGGGAGCAGACCACGAGCACAAAUUCAUCUUAGAUCGCUUUUGUUCGCGUUUUCCAAAGCAUACAGACAGACAUCGCCAGAAAAUCCAGGAUGUUCGGUACGAUAACAAGUUUAGUGUUCUCCGUCUGCCAAACAGGAAAGUUUUGAGUUCGUAUUUCCCUUUGGAUGUAGAAGAUGAAGGGAACGAGAAAGUAUACUCAUACUAUCUCUGCAAUGAUGGAAAAGGAGUGGAACCUAUUGAUUGGUCGCACGAUAGUGUAAGCGGGAAGUACUCCAUUGGCCGCGAUGACCUCGACAGCAAAGACUUUCUUGGUUCACCGGUGCUAUAUUCUGAUGGGAGGCGGGGUAAAACCUUCGUGGUCGGGGUGGUCGGUAAGGAAGGCAACGGAUUUUACCCGAUGUUCCUCGAAAGAGCCUCACCUUUCAAUCCCGGUGUUCCCAAUCAAGUGGAGAUUGGGGAAUGUCCAAGUGAAAUACUUGAAGGCAGCAUGAUCUUGACGUGGAUAGCACCUAAAGAAAAUGGAGCAGUGAUAACUGAGUACAUAGUCUAUCAAAGAGAAGUGAAUGAAAAUGGCUCAGAUUCUGACUGGGAAAGAAAGCCAACUGGUCAAGUCGUUCUUCAACAUGAAGUCAUCGGUUUAAAAAGUAGAAAAAUGUACGAAUUCCAAGUAACUGCCGAAAACUGGUGUGGUGAGAGCGCGAGAGAGGAGGACAAGACAAUCAGAGUAAAAGUGUUUGGUGUUCCCAAUCAAGUAAAAAUUGUAGAAUAUCCAAGUGAAAUAACUGAAGACAGAGUGACCUUGAGGUGGAGAGCACCCGAAGACAAUGGAACAGUGAUAACAGCGUAUACGGUCUACCAAAGAGAAUUGACGGAAGACGGCUCAGUUUCUGACUGGGAAAGAAAGUCAACUGGUCCAGGACAUCAACUUCAUCAGGAAGUGUCUGGGUUAGAAAGCGAGAAAACGUACCAAUUCCAAGUGACUGCCACAAACCAGUAUGGUGAGAGGUCAAGGGUUGAGGACGGUCCCUACAUAGUCCAAAUUGCUUGUGUUUCAGCUCCUUCUUUAUUGGAUAUUUCGUGGAUUUUCGAGUAUUGGUGGAAUGGAACGAACGGUAUUUGUUACAGUAUGCAGUAAAUUACUCAGGGAUGUUGAGUAGCAGAAGAGUUGGAUGCAAAAAAGUUGGGAACGGGGUUGAAGAGGCCCUGGACAUCGAAACUGAACCAGACAGUUGGUUGGAGUAAUUUAAUGUAAUAUAAAAUAAUAUUAGCCACGGAAUUUAGACUGACUUACAUCAGAUUUAGUUUAUGUUGAUUAGCUUAUACGAAAAAAGUGGAUAGCGCUAAAUGCGCACUCUGAUAGGCUGCUCAAACUCCGAAUGUCCUUUGCUACUCACCUUUUAGGAACUCGUGCGGAAUUUGAAACUGAAAAUGACUUUGGUCAUCGGUGCAGAAAUGAAUGAGUUGAAAUAAUCUUUGUGUGCUUUGGUAUAUAUCAAAACAAGUAUUCGCCUCGGAGCAGUCGAAGUGAUGAAAUUAAAUCACGUUUCAGGACUUUGAUUUCCGACCCUUUUUUGGUAUGAUGACCGUAAAGUAACUUAGAAAGAUAUUGUUUACUGUCGAAUCAAUCGAAGGAACUUUCGUAUAUUUAAAAUAUUAAUUCUCUCUAACAAUUUGUUCGUUGUAAAACGGCAGGCUAAGUUUUUAAUUCAACUAUAAAUACACUUUCGUUAAGUCUGUUCAAUUUUGACAUUAGUACCAUAAAUUUCACAACAGAAGCCGAAGGAAUUCAGUAAGAAAAUGCUGUAUUAAAUCCCCUUGUGUCUAACUAAAUUGUCUCAUUAACUGAAUCUUUUUGGCGGAAGAAAGACUUGCAGAUCCUACACACGUCUCUGCCGCAUAUAAACGAGCAAACUUUUACAACUUCAAAACAUACAUUUGAAUUUACUUACAAUUACUUUCCUUGCCCUUUAUGGACUGAUAAGAGGUAUGUCUUUGUAUGUCAAUCGUCGAUGGAAGUGAACAAUGGUUUCCAUAAGAUCUUUGACUGUUUUUAAAGAAAAACUGUCCUGACAGCCAUUGAACUUGAUUUUUUUUUCCAAACCAGUACCACUUUUUUUUUUUUUAUUUCAAAAGUGUACGCUGAGCGCUUUUUUUCUUACGCGCUCUCUAAUGAAAAAGUGUCAGAUCGUGAGAGAUGCCUGUAAAAAAGUGUUUCAAAUCACCAUUUUCAUUACGCAAAUGAAAUUGUUUUAGUGAAGCCUAACUCUCAAUUUGCAGCAACGCUGUUUUUUCUACAUAACUAUCUACUUGCGCAAAAAUUCCUCAGCUUACGGAGGAUCUUGCCGUAUUUAGAGUCCUAAAUCCAUCGGGUUCUUUUAGCAAAGAUUUCGUCAGGUUUUAGAAAAAAGUAAAAAUGUUAUUCACCAGCCAAGGUCGUUCAGAAUUGGGAAAAACUGUGCCCUCUGUAGGCCUCGGGCGGUACUCAAGA